AGUGAACGCUGGCGGUAGGCCUAACACAUGCAAGUCGAACGGCAGCACAGUAAGAGCUUGCUCUUACGGGUGGCGAGUGGCGGACGGGUGAGGAAUACAUCGGAAUCUACUUUUUCGUGGGGGAUAACGUAGGGAAACUUACGCUAAUACCGCAUAUGACCUACGGGUGAAAGCAGGGGAUCUUCGGACCUUGCGCGAUUGAAUGAGCCGAUGUCGGAUUAGCUAGUUGGCGGGGCAAAGGCCCACCAAGGCGACGAUCCGUAGCUGGUCUGAGAGGAUGAUCAGCCACACUGGAACUGAGACACGGUCCAGACUCCUACGGGAGGCAGCAGUGGGGAAUAUUGGACAAUGGGCGCAAGCCUGAUCCAGCCAUACCGCGUGGGUGAAGAAGGCCUUCGGGUUGUAAAGCCCUUUUGUUGGGAAAGAAAAGCAGCAGGUUAAUACCCCGCUGUUCUGACGGUACCCAAAGAAUAAGCACCGGCUAACUUCGU
rnacentral:rRNA from 1 species